ACGUGGCGCACAAUUGUAUCCGCUGUGUAUACGCGUGGCAUAGGCCGAAAUGGUGAUCGACCUUGUCCCUGACGUCAUGCCAACGUCUAGACGAGAGAUCUCAAACUGCGACUGAACAGCGUCGCUCUUACUAUCGAGAAUUAAAUUUGACGAUUGAAAAAGCUCGAGGGGGACACACGUGCGUAUACCGAGUGUUUACAAAUCGCUUCAUAGCGUAAUGGGAGAUAACCCUUGUUUUUAUGAGAAGAAAGUCUCAUUGAAGAAUUGAUAAGAAAAUUUCUCCAUGAAUACUCUGAUCGAGGAAAACUGUUCCAUUUACUCUAAAAUCGAUGAUUUCCAUAUAAAAUCAAGACAUCCAAUUAAA